GAAGAGGUUGGUACAAGUUUCUCUUAGAUCUGGAGUUGAUCUGAGGUUGUUUGAGGUGCGGGUGAGAUCUCCAUCAACAGAUCUACAGGAAAGGCUGCAGCAGGACAAAUCUGCAAGGUCUGGUUCUAUCUACCUUCUUCCCUAUCUAGAAUGCUACAAUUUGAGAUCUAUGAAUUGAAAGACCUCGGUCCAGACCUGAUCUAGUUGGGUACC
rnacentral:lncRNA from 1 species